AUUUAAUAACAUGUCUAAAAAAUGUAUGAAUGUCUUGGCAUUAGCUAAUACAACAAAAUGUUAAAUUAAAUGGCUUUUAAAAUCAGUAUAGCACAAAGACAUUAGUUAGUUAGGUUUCAUGAUAUUUUCACAUUUUCACAGCAGACAAAAUUAAAACAAAAUCAUUUGAACAUUUUCUGGUUGCCAAAAUUUAGUGCAAAAUACCUAUAGUUAAUGUGAUCAACUACACAUGUGAACUUCCAACAUCCACAAAAAAUUACUUAAGAUGCUUAAAACUAAAGCUGGCUAGUAAAAGUAAAAAAAUGAGAAACAAUAUGCACUGAUGGCACUAUAAACAUGUAGCCUAUUUAAUACAGUGGCCCCCUGAAGACCAACAAUUUCAGUUUCACUGCAUCAGGUACAAAAUACCAAACCAAGUGGUUUAUUUAAAAAGAAAUUAAACUAAACCUUUUUUUUCUGUGCUCUCACUCCCUCUUUUUUCUUUAUGUGCAUCUCACAUGAAUAUACCUGUUUGAAGACAGUGAAAGAUGUGGAGUUCAGUAACUCUAAACAUACCCACAGGCCUUUCUCUCUCUCCUCUGUGCCAUCUUUCAUGCCCUCUCUCACUUGUUCUCUCUCUGUCCACCCCUCGACCCAUCCCGAGUGCUUCAUAAUCCCACUCUGACCUGAAUAAAACCACAUGUACUGUUUCCAGGACAAAGGGUGUGUGCAAAUGUUUAUGUAUAGGUCACAAGUGAACUUUUUAAUUUUUUUCUAAAUCUGAAUAAUUUAUCAUGUGGCAUUGUUUUAUUUCAUAUAAACAUUUAUGUGUGUGUAUAACAUGUUUUAAAAAACAGUAAGUAAAAAUUGUACAGUAGCUGCAUCUGUGUAUCUAUAUACUGUAUGUAUAGCCUAUGUGUAUGCAUCUAUCUAUCUAUCUAUCUAUCUAUCUAUCUAUCUAUCUAUCUAUCUAUCUAUGUCUGUAUAGCUUUCCUCAUUCAACUCUCUUUUCCUCUCACCCUUCCUGUUUCUCCAGAUAUUAAUCUCUCUCUCUGUGACAGAUUGUCUGUAGUUUAUGCAAGAAGACAAAAGGAGAAGCUGCUGAGCCUUCAAAUCUAACAAAUCACACACAACACACUUAUGAGCAUGCACACACAUAACCCACAAACCCGCACGUGGAUGCAUAUGAUACCAAACAAAUACAUUACUUUACCAUAUUACAGACUCUCUCACACACAUAGACCUCAAACUAUGCAUCUGUAAAUACAUUUAAUACAGGUUUUGUAUGUACUUACAGGUUAAAUUACAAGUGCUUUAAAACACACACACACACACACACAUGGCGAUGAGUGACUAGUUAAAAAGGAAGCAAAAACAAAGAAGACAAACACAUAAGCUCAGUUGUCGAACAGUGAGGUGUUACAUAUAAAUGAAGUUUUUCGACUCUUUUCGAAGGAGUGCACCUGUUAGUAUAUCGCUGGAAUGAAACAGCUCCCUCUGCUGGACGUUCUAACGGUGACAAUAUCACAGAAAACAGUGGAGGGACGUCUACAUCGUGAACGUAGGUUCACAUCGUGAUCAAGCCUAUGAUUUAUACCAGUAAACACCUUGUUAUUUAUGGAUCACUAUCACUGACAUUUUUUCUGUGUUUUAGUUGCUGUGAAAGUCAAAUGUGUACAUUUAAUAUAUGAGUGAAGAUACAGCUGUAUGUGCAAGUUGCUCUCUUUCUGUAAAUUUUUUUUUUUUUUCUGAAUUUUCAUUGAUGUUAUUUAUUUAUUUUUUAUUAUUUAUAGUCCCUCGGGCAUGCCUGUACAAAUAGUUCGAUAGCUUACAAACGUUUUUUUAUGUUACCUUUCUGCAUCCUCAUGAUGAGGACGUGCAACCUCUCACUGUGCCUUUACUAUGCUAUGAUGAGUUUUAAUUAGGGUUGGAGCUGAACUCUGCAGGGCUGUGACUCUCCAGGCCCGGAGUUCGCCACCCCUGCACUAGAUCAUAGGACUAGGCCAUGAUGGAUUUGGGUGUGUUUGUAAAUGACACUGAAAAGUCAAUUUGUGUAACAUCUAUUUAUUACCACCAGAAUAUGAGAAAUUUGGAAAAUACAAAGAUCAGCUGAUUUAAAUUUCCGAAUAAGAAAAAAAAAAGAAGCACAAACAUGAGGUUACAUUGUGUAUCACGAAUAGAGGGAAGGAGCAAAGUUCUACCCAAACAAAGUGAAAGACUCAGUACUGGAGUAUUAAACAUAAAGAAUAUUUUUUUGCUACACUCUGUGACUCUAAUGCCGAUCUUUAAUUUGACAAAACUGGAAUUGGAAGAGUGGAAAACGAGAGACAGAAAAAGAGAGAAAGACAAAGAAAAGAAAGGAGAGCAGGAUGUUAGUCGAACAGCGAGGUUGAAUAAGAGGCUGGUUUAGAGCACCCCCCUGUGGCUGCCUGAAGUUAUAACAGGAGGAGCAGGAUCGGCUUUCACUACAAUAUGAAAAAGGAAAAAUAAAACGAAUUCAAACUGAUUCUCUAAUGAUUCAUUCUUUUUUCUCUCUAAAGAACAAUUAAUGUAUGCAUUGUUAAAAAAAAAAAAAAGACACCAUAUCGACAAUAAUAGCAAUCAUCAAUAUUACAAGUAACAACUUUUUAACCAAUAGAUGCUGGUUUGCAGUUGAAUACGAUUCUGCUUUGCUGAUCACAUCACCCACAGACACUCACACAGAAAAGAAGUCCGACCCCACACUCACCUCCACUAUGAAGGGCCAAGUAAGGAUUCGAGCAGGACAUGUAAGAACUGGAUGGAUCGAGGGGGGCAGAAAGGGGAGGGAAAACGAGGUAAGAUUAAAAACAUAUGUGAGUUGGGGGAUUGGCGAGGACAGGUUUUUCAAUAAGGUGAACUGAGGCAGUUUUAGUAGCACCCUGCUGUGGAAGUUUCCGCUCCCCUUAAGCAGACUGACCCCAGACACCACCCUGUUUUUCUCUCUGGACAGUGGAGUAAGUGUGAGCGCAGGGCGAGACUUCUUCUCUUUACAUGCAUGUUGAAUGUGUGGCCCUAAAGCAGGCAGGGCUGGACCUCGUUUACUCUCCAAAUGUGAAUGUGUGAGUUUGUGUAUGUAUGCAUGUGUGUGUGUGUUUGUGUGCAUGCAUGUGUGUGUGUGUGAUCAGCAGCACCUGUUACAUGCACAUAUAGGUACCCUACGCGUCAUUUAGACAGCACUAGCAGACUGAGACACAGUUACUCCCCAUCACUGAUACUCUAAACUCUACCAAGAAAAGGAGGAGGAGAACAAGUGGAGAGACAGAAAGAAAUAAAGAGGGCAAUAGAAAGAAGGGGUGAGUUUAAGCGCGCUCUCCGCGGAUGCGGCGUGCCAGCUGGAUGUCUUUGGGCAUGAUGGUGACACGCUUGGCAUGGAUGGCACACAGUGCUCCAAUGGCGGCGCUCUGGAAACGCAGAUCAGUUUUGAAGUCCUGGGCAAUCUCUCGAACCAGACGCUGGAAUGGCAGCUUACGGAUCAGCAGCUCAGUGGACUUCUGAUACCGACGAAUCUCACGCAAAGCCACAGUACCGGGCCUGCAGACAAGAAAGAUGCUUAAUGCAGGGGUCCUCGCUACUCUUUCUUUGCUGUGUACAAUUCCAAGUCUACUGAGUAUCACCUGUAGCGGUGAGGUUUCUUGACUCCUCCAGUCGAGGGAGCGCUCUUGCGGGCAGCUUUGGUAGCCAGCUGCUUACGAGGAGCUUUUCCUCCGGUGGACUUACGAGCAGUCUGCUUAGUACGGGCCAUUGUUAGUCAAUAUCACCUGAGAGAAAAGAAAACACUGAGUAUUUUAGAACACAGUUAAGUCAUGGUCAGAUUAUGACAUACAAGGCAGGAAUGCAAAACAACUCUAGGAUUAAGUUAACAUGUAUAAUAGUGCUUUCUC
ensembl:lncRNA